CAGCCGCCCCAAGUCCAGGGACGCCGCGGACGCCAUGGAAGCCGCCCGCCGCUGUGUCCUGAGGCGUUGUGACGCCAUCACGUUUGAACGCGAUUUACACCUCCACCUUCUGAUGCACGGAACCACCAUAAGCCUUUAACAGUGAGCUACUCAGUGUGCGUCACACUUGUCAGGAGAAGAGAGCUGUGUGGACCCAUCCAUGCUGCAACUGUGUUUUCGGAGCCUCUCUGCACUGGGAAUCUGAAGCACAGAGAAGAGACCAGGGAAGAGAAGGUAGCACUGCCCCGAGUCCCGUCUUCAGCUGAGGACGGUUGAGAAGGAACUGAGGAGGGUGUGGGACACAUGCACUCAAGAAGAUUCCAACUAGACGGGAGAUACCAUCUGGGUGCGUGCGCCCCAACCAGGCACUGCUACUGAAAAUCUCCGAUCGACAGCGCCGGGACGCACCGUCACCUAGAGUGGAGCACCCACAGGAACAGCACUCAAAAGAAGAACCAAGCUUCUGCCCGCGCAGGGGAGAGCGGUGGGGCUGAGUGCAGCUGGGGGCCGAGACCGAGGCAGGCAGCUGCGUGCCACUCAAAAUUGGCUCACAUGCCAUGUUUGGCACACGUGCUGUAGGUUGCUGACCCCUGCUGUAGACAGACGUUGAUCCAGACAUUGAUCCAUGUAAUGUAAUCCCCAUUUUAGGAUUCUAGGGUGAAGUAGAGCCCUUUUUGUAUUUAUUAUUAAAUAUCUGUCAAAACAAUAAAGUAACAAGAAAAUCUAGU